UGAGCAUCAAAGUCGAUUCUCCCGUUUUGGACUUUAGACGCUAGCUUCCCGGCUACACAUCUUUUUUCUCUGAAACAUACUCCGCAUUCUCGCCGUUAGUAGGAUAAAGUACCGGAAGCCCCCGAAAAAGGAGGUUUGGAGCAAUACCGGAGUCUUCACCUUUUUUUCCAGUGGCACUGCAGAUGGUUUUUACGAAGUCGAAGGGUUCAUGUAAAGAGUUUGGAAGAAUGUCCGUUCAGAUCUCCCAAAGGGAAUAAAGUGGGAGAAAGCUUCGCGACGAAACUGAGCAAGACGGCGACAGCCUUCGUGCUCCUCUUCAAUUCGGAUCGUGAUGGAAAGAGACCGUUUCUGGUUGCUGCGAUUCAUGCUUUCUUCCGUUCAGGAUCUGAAGUCAAAAUUCUGCUCAGGCGAGGGGCUCUGCGUGAUACUGACUCUUGAGGAACUGUGGAAUCCAAAAGGCUCGUAGACGCCCGAACGGUCACGUCGUUCUUUGGCUGGUCCUGGGAUGCUAGAGCUCAGAACGCUCUCCCAUGUUUUGACGGAGGUUUUCUGGCAAAAGUGUUUGGGUGACGAGGGGCGCUAGACGCCGAAGCUGUCGCAGACGUCGAAGAUGAUGGGGGGAACCGAGGCGAAAAUGAAGCAGACGGCUCCGCGAGACGGGCACCUUUCGAACACACAUGUGGGAGUCUGGGACCGCGGACUACACGCGGGUUCCCGGGGUGUGAAGGGAGGCAUACAGACUACCGCAUACGGCGGAUUUAGUGUUCGGGAAGGAGGAACGAGUCAAUCUGCGUAGAUCCACGGGCGCACGAUUCGUACUGCCUUCCGCGGCAGCGUAGAGGAUGCUACUCGGACUCUGGCGCCGGAAGUCGAUGGCGCGACUGAUCAUGUGUGUACACGCGUGGAGGGCUGCGUCGGGCACGCAGGUUUCAAUUCUGUAGGGUUCCACGGGGGAGGGAGUUUUACGUUAAAGGAGAGAACUUACCGGCGCGAGAGUAUCUGGACUUACACGGGAGCCGCGGCAGCCAGAACGAAACCCAGAGAAAAGCCCUUAGACACCCAGCAGUACGGCGUGUUAAAAGGAUGCAGUCCAAAACGGGGAGGAUGUCGUUGAAGCCUUUACCUAUCACUCUUCAUUCAAUAUUUCAAGCGGAGGAUUCUUAGCUCGAUCUAAAACGGCUCCACAAGAAGCAAGGCGGAACGGCGAACAGGAAGAAACGUGAGUCAAAGUAAAGACACUCGACACGGCCCGAUGCUGCCUGUCGCCAGCUUUUCACAGAAAAACAAGGACGAGAAGUGAACGAUGGCAGAGAGGAAAGAGCCAUAGAAACCCAUCCCAGUGGAAGGGGGCUUCGCGCGGCAGGCUCUUUCGCGGACACUGAGGGCAGAGCCCGUUCUAGGGUUUGCCGCCAACUCUCUGUUUCACAGUGCGGGAUCGACUAGGAGAAACUCAGGAGGUUUUCCUCCGUUCGUCUACGGUUUCGACGCAUCAAAGCUGUUGCCAGUGCUUCCUUUCCCCGUUGUUGAUUGAAUCCCAUCUGAAACGCUCUUCUGUUAGCAGCCGGGAGCGGCGUGUGCAUGCAGUCGCAAGUUCUUCCCCAAUGGCCGUAUUCGGCAACCCCCGCCAAUGAACUGGGACUUCCCACUGUGUGUAUCAGGCAGCUCCUCUACCUCUGACUGGCGCUGCAUGCCUCCGUGGACGAAGCUACCCACGAUCGUCCACAGUUUUCCGUUCGGCCGCGUCUGCGAGCUCAAGGCACUGAACUGCCGGGAAACCCUCUAGACGUGGUUCAAGGUAUCCGCGGCUCGACCCGUGUACGCACUUUUUUCCUGUGCCUCGUUUCAUCUAGAACGCGGCGGGGUGCAGUCGAUAAGGCUCCCGGCUUCACUUUGUUUUCUUUACGCUGAGCGUAAUCGCUACCAUUUUCUGACGGAGGCUGCC
rnacentral:lncRNA from 1 species